GAGAGAGAGAGAUGUUCCGAAGCGUUCAGUCAAAUUCAGCUGAAUUUCGAAAAAUAUUCCCCCGUUAAAAGGUGGAAUAGAGCCGUGGUUGGCAAGAGAUCGUGACCAAAAAUCCAGUGUCGACGAGAGGUUGGGAAAACGACACGAAAGUUGGGAACGUCGUUGCAUCGUAAUUGCCGUUAUUCUUCGGGAAUGUCUCGUCCCCGGCGAAACCCACUUUGCUCGCGUGGAAGCCCGAGAAAUCGUGGACGAGCUCGAGAAAGAGGGAGACAGUGGGAGCGGAUAAAGGGAGAAGGAAGAAGCGGAGCACGUUAAAAAAA